rnacentral:rRNA from 1 species
AAGUCGGACUAAUACCGCAUAAAACAGGGGCACCGCAUGGUGAUAUUUGUUAAAGAAAUUCGCUGAUAGAUGGGCAUGCGUUCCAUUAGGUAGUUGGUGAGGUAACGGCUCACCAAGCCGACGAUGGAUAGGGGAACUGAGAGGUUGGUCCCCCACACUGGUACUGAGACACGGACCAGACUCCUACGGGAGGCAGCAGUGAGGAAUAUUGGUCAAUGGGCGGGAGCCUGAACCAGCCAAGUCGCGUGAAGGAAGAAGGAUCUAUGGUUCGUAAACUUCUCUUGCAGGGGAAUAAAGUGCAGGACGUGUCCUGUUUUGUAUGUACCCUGAGAAUAAGGAUCGGCUAACUCCGUG